rnacentral:rRNA from 1 species
AUGCAAGUCGAGCGAGAAGGUUAAGAUGGAUUCUUCGGAUGACAGAUUAACUGGAAAGCGGCGGACGGGUGAGUAACGCGUGGGUAACCUACCCCAUACACAGGGAUAGCCAUUGGAAACGAUGAUUAAUACCUGAUAACACAUAAUGGUCGCAUGACUAUGAUGUCAAAGAUUUAUCGGUAUGGGAUGGACCCGCGUCUGAUUAGCUAGUUGGUGAGGUAAAAGCUUACCAAGGCGACGAUCAGUAGCCGACCUGAGAGGGUGAUCGGCCACACUGGAACUGAGACACGGUCCAGACUCCUACGGGAGGCAGCAGUGGGGAAUAUUGCACAAUGGGCGCAAGCCUGAUGCAGCAACGCCGCGUGAGCGAAGAAGGUCUUCGGAUCGUAAAGCUCUUUUCUUAGGGAAGAAAAAUGACGGUACCUAAGGAAUAAGCACCGGCUAAAUACGUGCCAGCAGCCGCGGUAAUACGUAUGGUGCAAGCGUUAUCCGGAAUCACUGGGCGUAAAGGGUACGU